rnacentral:rRNA from 1 species
GACGAACGCUGGCGGCGUGCUUAACACAUGCAAGUCGAACGGAAAGGCCCUGCUUUCGUGGGGUGCUCGCGUGGCGAACGGGUGUGUAACAUGUGAGUAACCUGCCCUUGACUUUGGGAUAACUUCAGGAAACUGGGGCUAAUACCGGAUAGGAGCUGCUGCUGCAUGGUGGGGGUUGGAAAGUUUCGGCGGUUGGGGAUGGACUCGCGGCUUAUCAGCUUGUUGGUGGGGUAGUGGCUUACCAAGGCUUUGACGGGUAGCCGGCCUGAGAGGGGGGCCGGCCACAUGAGGACUGAGAGACGGCCCAGACUCCUACGGGAGACAGCAGGGGAGAAUAUUGCACAAUGGGCGCAAGCCUGAUGCAGCAACGCCGCGUUCGUGAUGACGGCCUUCGGGUUGUAAACCGCAUUCGCCUGUGACGAAGCGUGAGUGACGGUAAUGGGUAAAGAAGCACCGGCUAACUACGUG